ACUCCUACGGGAGGCAGCAGUGGGGAAUUUUCCGCAAUGGGCGAAAGCCUGACGGAGCAACGCCGCGAGCGGGAUGAAGGCCUUCGGGUUGUAAACCGCUUUCAGCAGGGAAGAAGCGAAAGUGACGGUACCUGCAGAAGAAGCACCGGCUAACUACGUGCCAGCAGCCGCGGUAAUAC
rnacentral:rRNA from 1 species